rnacentral:rRNA from 1 species
UAAAACUUUCAACAACGGAUCUCUUGGUUCUGGCAUCGAUGAAGAACGCAGCGAAAUGCGAUAAGUAAUGUGAAUUGCAGAAUUCAGUGAAUCAUCGAAUCUUUGAACGCACAUUGCGCCCCCUGGUAUUCCGGGGGGCAUGCCUGUUCGAGCGUCA